CCGCCCGUCACAUCACGAAAGUGGAUUGUACUAGAAGUCUGUUCGCUAACCCGCAAGGGAGGCAGCGGCCAAGGUAUGAUUCAUGAUUGGGGUG
rnacentral:rRNA from 1 species